rnacentral:rRNA from 1 species
UGAGGAAUAUUGGUCAAUGGACGCAAGUCUGAACCAGCCAAGUAGCGUGCAGGAUGACGGCCCUAUGGGUUGUAAACUGCUUUUAUAUGGGGAUAAAGUGGGGAACGUGUUCCCUUUUGCAGGUACCAAAUGAAUAAGGACCGGCUAAUUCCGUGCCAGCAGCCGCGGUAAUACGGAAGGUUCGGGCGUUAUCCGGAUUUAUUGGGUUUAAAGGGAGCGUAGGCCGUUUGGUAAGCGUGUUGUGAAAUGUAGGAGCUCAACUUCUAGAUUGCAGCGCGAACUGUCAGACUUGAGUGCGCACAACGUAGGCGGAAUUCAUGGUGUAGCGGUGAAAUGCUUAGAUAUCAUGAAGAACUCCGAUUGCGAAGGCAGCUUACGGGAGCGCAACUGACGCUGAAGCUCGAAGGUGCGGGUAUCGAACAGG